AUGGGCAUAGGCGGAGGCACAACAAGGGACUCAGUCAAACAGUGCGUCUCAGCCGCAACAUACUUUAAUAACCCCACUUUUUACCUUUCAGGAUACUGCUUUCGGGCAGCCUCUUUAGAAGAGCCGGAUUGUCGGACUUGCACAGAGAAAAAACCAAGGAGGCAAAAGGCUUUGCACACAAAGAAAAUACCCAGGUGGAAUCUGUUCACGAUCGUUAUACGUGUUUUUUAUACCUACAUGCAGCCCGCCCUUGGAUGGGACAUGUCAAAUAGUCCUAUUUACUUCUGCUUAACGCAUUGUAAACAUACACUUAGACGUAUUAUUUAUCAAUGGGAGAUAAUAUACAGCGUCAGCUUAUUAUUCCUAUUUGCACAUUUUUUCUAUAAAUGUUUAUUUAAUAUUGCAUCGGUACACCUUGGUACGUUUAGUUUGCCAGGGGCUCCUUAUGGCGCCCCAUAA
rnacentral:rRNA from 1 species